GACGGAGGGCGCAAGCGUUGUUCGGAAUUACUGGGCGUAAAGCGCGGGCAGGCGGUCUGUUAAGUCUCCUGUGAAAUUCCGGGGCUCAACCCCGGACAUGCAGAAGAUACUGGCAGACUCGAGAAUGGUAGAGGCAAGCGGAAUUCCUGGUGUAGCGGUGGAAUGCGUAGAUAUCAGGAAGAACACCUGUGGCGAAGGCGGCUUGCUGGGCCAUUUCUGACGCUCAUCCGCGAAAGCGUGGGGAGCAAACAGG
rnacentral:misc_RNA from 1 species